rnacentral:rRNA from 1 species
ACUCCUACGGGAGGCAGCAGUGGGGAAUAUUGCACAAUGGGCGCAAGCCUGAUGCAGCCAUGCCUGCCGGUGUUGAAGAAGGCCUUCGGUUGGUAAAUGCACUUUCAGUCGUGAGGAAGGUAGUGUAGUUAAUAGCUCGAUUAUUUGACGUUAGCGCACAGAAGAAGCACCGGCUAACUCCAGUGCCCCAGGNUACCGCGGAAUACGGAGGGUGCGAGGCCGGUUAAUCGGAAUUACUGGGCGUAAAGCGCAUGCAGGUGGUUUGUUAAGUCAGAUGUGAAAGCCCGGGGCUCAACCUCGGAAUUGCAUUUGAAACUGGCAGACUAGAGUACUGUAGAGGGGGUGAGAAUUGUCAGGUGUAGCGGUGAAAUGCGUAGAGAUCUGAAGGAAUACCGGUGGCGAAGGCGGCCCCUGGCACAGAUACUGACACUCAGAUGCGAAAGCGUGGGGAGCAAACAGGAUUAGAUACCCUGGUAGCUACG